AAACUUUGUGUAUAUUGAGUAGGGACUGCUGUUUGAUUACUUGAUAAUUUCUUGGUUGACUGAGUUGAUAUUAGUUAUGUUUUUGGCUUGUUAUAAAGUGAAUUGAUUGUGAUGUAUUGUGAAGUGAAUUGAUUGUGAUGUGUUGUGAAGUGAAAUGAUUGUGAUUAAGGAUUGAUGACUUUUGUAUGGAUAUUGUGUGAUCGGGAAAGCUGAGCCGGGCGGAUAGCUACCCGAGUAUGUGAGAUGGCAAGACUGAGCCGGGCGGAUAGUCUUGUCAAGUGGUUACUGAAAUUUAAAAAUGUGAGGAAAUGUAAGG
rnacentral:lncRNA from 1 species